CACCGCCACGGCGUACACAGCCGGCGGGAUGGUGGCCAGGAGCUCCGGGCCCAGCAUGACCCCCGUCAUUAUGAAGAGCAUCACCAGGCUAUCAACAUUACAGAAUUCUGAACGACCCCAAAGGCUUUGAUUCACCGUAACUGAGUUUCAGAACCAGCACUACAGUCACAUCCCUGCAGAACCAGCACUACAGUCACAUCCCUGCAGAACCAGCACUACAGUCACAUCCCUGCAGAACCAGCACUACAGUCACAUCCCUGCAGAACCAGCACUACAGUCACAUCCCUGCAGAACCAGCACUACAGUCACAUCCCUGCAGAACCAGCACUGCAGUCACA